CGCACAUUGCGCCCUUUGGUAUUCCGAAGGGCAGGCUUCUUCGAGCGUCAUUAAAAGACCAUCAAGCCCAGCUUGGCCUUGGACGGUGCCAAGUCUCGUCAGCGAGACCCGUCCUAAAAACCUCAUGCGGUGGCACCGAGCCUCGAGCGUAGUAGAAUUAAAACCCCGCUCUAUGUGGCUCGGGCGUCUGCCCGCUGCGAAAGCGAACUCUUUUAACAGACUUCUGAAAUUGACCUCGGAUGAAGCCAGGAUACCCGCUGAACUUAA
rnacentral:misc_RNA from 1 species